UGGUGGAGUGAUUUGUCUGGUUAAUUCCGUUAACGAACGAGACCUCAACCUGCUAAAUAGGCACACGAACAAUUCUGUUCGUUCGUGUCUUCUUAGAGGGACUAUCGGUUUCUAGCCGAUGGAAGUUUGAGGCAAUAACA
rnacentral:rRNA from 1 species